rnacentral:rRNA from 1 species
AUCCUGGCUCAGGAUGAACGCUGGCGGUAUGCCUAACACAUGCAAGUCGAACGGAGUACUUCGGUACUUAGUGGCGGACGGGUGAGUAACGCGUGAGAAUCUGCCUUCAGGAUGGGGAUAACAGUGGGAAACUACUGCUAACACCCAAUGAGCCGAGAGGUAAAAAAUUUAUUGCCUGAAGAGGAGCUCGCGUCCGAUUAGUUAGUUGGUGGGGUAAAAGCCUACCAAGACGGCGAUCGGUAGCUGGUCUGAGAGGAUGAGCAGCCACACUGGGACUGAGACACGGCCCAGACUCCUACGGGAGGCAGCAGUGGGGAAUUUUCCGCAAUGGGCGCAAGCCUGACGGAGCAAUACCGCGUGAGGGAGGAAGGCCUUUGGGUUGUAAACCUCUUUUCUUAAGGAAGAAGAUCUGACGGUACUUAAGGAAUCAGCAUCGGCUAACUCCGUGCCAGCAGCCGCGGUAAUACGGAGGAUGCAAGCGUUAUCCGGAAUUAUUGGGCGUAAAGCGUCCGCAGGCGGCAUUAUAAGUCUGCUGUCAAAGACCGCAGCUCAACUGCGGAAAGGCAGUGGAAACUGUAAAGCUAGAGUACGGUAGGGGUAGAGGGAAUUCCCAGUGUAGCGGUGAGAUGCGUAGAUAUUGGGAAGAACACCAGUGGCGAAAGCGCUCUACUGGGCCGUAACUGACGCUCAGGGACGAAAGCUAGGGGAGCGAAAGGGAUUAGAUACCCCUGUAGUC